UAAUGGUGUAGCAGAUGGCUGUUACUUAAGGUUUUUGUACUGAUCAACAUCUGGGCCACAGCACUGUGUUGGUGUUCAGUUCUGGUACUAAAGUGAUUGUCACAGGCCAGGUGUUUCCUAACCCUUCAAUACAAGUGAUGCCACCCUCAGAACAGGAGAUAUCAGACAAAAGAACAGCCACUGUGACAUGCAUGGUCGAUAAGUUGUCCGUGGCAUUGAAUGACGUGAACUGGAGAGUGGAUGGAGUCGCUGUCACCAGUGGAACCAGUACCGGCCUGCCUAUCAAGAGAUCAGACAACACAUUCAGCCUAAGCAGUUACCUGACAGUCCCUGCUUCUGACUGGGAGACAAACAAAAUCUUCUCUUGUGAAGUCCUGCAAGCUGGAACAGCUUCUGCAGCAACUAAUAAAAUACGAUUUUCUGAAUGCUAGUUAUAAAAUCAUAGAUUGUCCUUCAUUUAUGUUUUCAUCCUGCUUUUACUUAAUGUCAAGCAGUUCACUGUUUUCUUUUUCUGCUUGUAAAGGCAGUUGAUUUUUACUUGUAAUGCAUUCUAUAGCUUACUUGUUAUGAAUCUUGUAAUCUUGUUUGUCAAUAAAUUAACUUUAGCUGAA